ACGGAGGGUGCGAGCGUUAUUCGGAUUUAUUGGGCGUAAAGGGCGCGUAGGCGGCCGUGUAAGUCUGGUGUGAAAACGCUACCGCUCAACGGAGCGACUGCAUCGGAUACUGCAUGGCUUGAGUGCGGGAGAGGUGAGUGGAAUGAGUGGUGUAGCGGUGGAAUGCGUAGAUAUCACUCGGAACACCAGUGGCGAAGGCGGCUCACUGGCCCGCAACUGACGCUGAGGCGCGAAAGCGUGGGGAGCAAACGGG
rnacentral:rRNA from 1 species